UGUUCGGGGCUCUCUGAUUGGUGCACCGGCUGCUAGGCCCGCCUUCUCAGUCGGGGCGGAGCAGAGGGAAAAGAAGAGGGGCCCCGAGAAGGCAGUGGGAGGUCGCGGGGCGGGAAUCCGCGGCAGGCAGGCAAGCAAGGAGGAGGGUGCGAGCAGAAGAAAAAGGAGGAACAAUGAAGAGAAAGAACCAAUAUGAGCACUAUGGCUGAAGUGGCCCUCCAGUGUCCUCCUAGACUUGAAUUCUUUGACUACCCGGGAAGGUAGCGAGUCUUAUUUUUCAGAAAACACACCCAAAGAGGUGGCCGGAACUAGACUGAGCAGGUCUUUGGCUCCGAAUCUCUAGUUCUCAGCACUGAGGAGGAAAGUGUCUGCAAAGGCUUAGCCAAGGGGGUGAAUAGAAGCAGUUCAUCAUGCAACCUGUGAUAAAAUCAGCUUCUCCUGUCCCAAACUGCUAAGUCUUUUGUUGUCAGUUAGCCUCUUACCUAAUUUGGUUGGUCUCCCUGUUUGCAUUAACUGUCCUGCGCAGCGACCACUUCUGGAGCCUUUUAGUUCCCAGACCAUUGACAUAUUUUAGUUCAUUCAAAUGUUUGGGGGCAAUCUGCUCUGAGCCAGGCUCGGAGUUAGGAGUGAGCCCGGUGGGCCUGCCCUCUGAGACCAACCUCUCCAAGCUCAAGACCAGGUGGAGAAGCAGACAGGGGCACAGACAGAGACAAAUACAGUGGAUGAGAACUAGUAAUAGGGAACAUAACAGGGAACUGGAGGAGCUCGGUGGAGGCAGGGGGUCAGGGUAGAGGUGGACUCAGAGAAGGCUUCUCUCACAAAGUUAUCCAAGCUACUGGCAGGAUGCAUACCCUGAGUUAGGCAGGGUCCAGGCAGAGGGAGCUUCAAGAGGCCUGGGCAGCCAGAGAAUGCAAUGCCCACAGAAAGCUGGAAAGAUCCUGUGGCUCCCCAACUCCAGGAGGGGAUUUCAAAGGAGGGAGCCGGCCAAGGAUGUCCCAAGGCCUAGGUGGCUUCUCAGCUGUGACCGAUUUUGAAUUUGACUGAAUACCACUAGGUUCUCCAAGGCGGGAGGGAGAUUAUCCCAGAUUAUGAGUGUGAAGACAUCCAAUAUAGUUACGAGAGUCCUUCCAAUGCGAAAGAGAGAGACCGAAGAGAAAACAGAGAGACGGCAGCGUGGGAAGGACUCAGCUCUACAACGGCUGACUUUGCAGAUGGAGGAAGGGGGCCAUGAACCAAGGAAUGCAGGAAGCUUCUAGAAGCUGGAAUUCUCUCCUACAGCCUCCAGAAAGAAUGCAGCCUCGCUGACACCUUGAUUUGGGCCCCAUAAGACCCAUUUUGUACUUUGAACCUUUAUAAAGUGUGCUGGUUAAGAGCCGUGGACUCUGGAGCCCUGCCACAUCCCACCUCUGCCCUUGAACAAGUUAUCUGGACUCUCUGGGUCUCAGCCUCCUCAUCUAUGAUGAAGAAUGAUAAAAACACUGUGUCAUAGGAUUGUUGGGGGAGAAUUUAAAGAAUCUCUAAAGGACUGGCCUACGCCUGGCACGUGAGCCUGGCACACAGGAGAGGGAAUGAAUGAAUUGAUGGAUGAAUAAGUGGAGUAAGGAUGAGGAAAACUGGGUUUGGAGUCAGCACACCUGCUUGCACUCUCUUCCCUUAGGAGCUUUGUAACCUUGGGGUGGCCAGUAGCUUCUGGGGGCAGCAGGAGGGCCUUGCCCUGAUAUUCCUGUGGCUGAGAUUCUCAGACAGGAGAGCGCAAUGAAAGUGGAACAGUGAACUUGGGGAGCUGAUGGUCCUGAGGUCAUGCAGUUGGAGCCACAGACAGAGGGUGCCUGCAUCCUGGCUAAAAGGAGUGUGGGGCGAGAAGUGACUGAGCAUCAUUUUCAGAUCUGACCUAUGAAAAAAUCUCCCACUUCAUCCUCUACCCUCGCUUUCCCCAUCUGCCAGCUGGAUAUCUGUGCCCAGGGCCACCUGGGAAGCCACGUGUGAAAACAGCAGAGCCUCCAUCAACCAGCUGGAUCCCUUGACGACUCCAUGAAGCAAAGCCCUUCCCACCCCAUCCCUCCCUGCUGCUGAGUGAACUUUAGAAUACUAAGAAAUUAACUGCUGCUGGGGGAGGAUGUAAGUCAGCGGUAGGGUGCAUGCUUAACAUGCAUGAGGUCCCGGUUCAA